rnacentral:rRNA from 1 species
GUUGUAGCAAUACAAUAGUGGCGCACGGGUGCGUAACACGUAUGCAACCUACCUUAUAGACGGGGAUAGCCUUUGGAAACGGAGAUUAAUACCCGAUAGCACUAUUGACUGGCAUCGGUUAAUAUUUAAAGAUUUAUCGCUAUAAGCUGGGCAUGCGUCCAAUUAGUUAGUUGGUUAGGUAAUGGCUGACCAAGACGAUGAUUGGUAGGGGAACUGAGAGGUUAAUCCCCCACACUGGCACUGAGAUACGGGCCAGACUCCUACGGGAGGCAGCAGUAGGGAAUAUUGGGCAAUGGAGGCAACUCUGACCCAGCCAUGCCGCGUGCAGGAUGAAGGCGUUAUGCGUUGUAAACUGCUUUUAUAUAGGAAGAAAUAGACCUUGCGAGGUAAGUUGACGGUACUAUAUGAAUAAGCACCGGCUAACUCCGUGCCAGCAGCCGCGGUAAUACGGAGGGUGCAAGCGUUGUCCGGAUUUAUUGGGUUUAAAGGGUGCGUAGGCGGUUUAUUAAGUCAGUGGUGAAAGACGGUCGCUCAACGAUUGCAGUGCCAUUGAUACUGGUAGACUUGAGUGAGAUUGAGGUAGCUGGAAUGGAUAGUGUAGCGGUGAAAUGCAUAGAUAUUAUCCAGAACACCAAUUGCGUAGGCAAGUUACUAAGUCUCAACUGACGCU